GGCGACGUAGCCAAGCGGAAAGGCAACUGUCUGCAAAACAGUUAUUCACCGGUUCGAUUCCGGUCGUCGCCUCCA
rnacentral:tRNA from 1 species